CCGGAUUUCUUUUUCAGGUGAUCUUCUUCCUCUGUUUGCCGCUGGAAGGGAGCCGCCGGAUCUUCGCCAGGGCUGAGGUAAGGAUUCUAGCUUCACCACUUUGUUAUACCAUUUGAUAAAAUAAGAAGAAGAAGAAGAAGAAGAGAGAAGGAAAAGGAGGGGGAGGCACCUGUGGCAGUCGGCAUGCCUUCGGCCACAGGCGUCGCCAGCCCUCAGUGGCGGCCACCUUGAGGACCGGAGAGCACCACCUUCCCUUGUUCCUCUUCUCUGUUCAGUGAAAACAGAGAAGGAAUAGUGGAAGGAGAAAGAGAGAAAGAAAGAAAGAAAGGAGAAGAGAGGGAAGAAGGAGAAGGCCGACUGCU
rnacentral:lncRNA from 1 species